rnacentral:rRNA from 1 species
CACGUAGGAGACGAGCGUUAUCCGGAUUUACUGGGCGUAAAGCGCGUGCAGGCGGUUCAGCAAGUUGGAUGUGAAAGCUCCCGGCUUAACUGGGAGAGGUCGUUCAAAACUACUGGACUUGAGAGUGGUAGAGGGAGGUGGAAUUCCGGGUGUAGUGGUGAAAUGCGUAGAUAUCCGGAGGAACACCAGUGGCGAAAGCGGCCUCCUGGACCAUUUCUGACGCUCAGACGCGAAAGCUAGGGUAGCGAACGGG